GACGAACGCUGGCGGCGUGCCUAACACAUGCAAGUCGAGCGAAUGAAGUUCCUUCGGGAACGGAUUUAGCGGCGGACGGGUGAGUAACACGUGGGCAACCUGCCUCAUAGAGGGGAAUAGCCUUCCGAAAGGGAGAUUAAUACCGCAUAAGAUUGUAGUACCGCAUGGUACAGCAAUUAAAGGAGCAAUCCGCUAUGAGAUGGGCCCGNGGCGCAUUAGCUAGUUGGUGAGGUAACGGCGUCACCAAGGCGACGAUGCGUAGCCGACCUGAGAGGGUGAUCGGCCACAUUGGGACUGAGACACGGCCCAGACUCCUACGGGAGGCAGUAGUGGGAAUAUUGCACAAUGGGGGAAACCCUGAUGCAGCAACGCCGCGUGAGUGAUGA
rnacentral:rRNA from 1 species